rnacentral:rRNA from 1 species
GCGCGAAAACUCUACAAUGCAGGCAACUGCGAUAGGGGAACAUCGAGUGAUCCUCAUAUUGGGGGUCUGUCCACCCGUCUAAAAAACGGGUGUUAGCAAGGGCCGGGCAAGACCGGUGCCAGCCGCCGCGGUAAUACCGGCGGCUCGAGUGGUGGCCGAUAUUAUUGAGUCUAAAGGGUCCGUAGCCGGCUUUGCAAGUCUCUCGGGAAAUCCAGCGGCUUAACCGUUGGUCGUCCGGGGGGUACUACAUUGCUUGGGACUGGGAGAGGUAGGAGGUACUCAGGGGGUAGGAGUGAAAUCCUGUAAUCCUUUGGGGACCACCGGUGGCGAAGGCGUCCUACCAGAACAGGUCCGACGGUGAGGGACGAAAGCUAGGGGCACGAACCGGAUUAGAUACCCGGGUAGUCCUAGCCGUAAACGAUGCUCGCUAGGUGUCACAACAGUCGUGAACUGUUGUGGUGCCGUAGGGAAGCCGUGAAGCGAGCCACUUGGGAAGUACGACCGCAAGGUUGAAACUUAAAGGAAUUGGCGGGGGAGCAC